UAUUUGCAAAUAUCUAUCUCAUUUGUUUUUUUUUUUUUUUACGACAAUAAAUUUAAAAAAAAAAAUAAAUAAAUAAAACAUGCAAAUUAUUUUAGACUAUUAUUAAAUUUAUGCAAUGCACUAUGGGAAAAAAGUACGAUAUUUUGGCAUUAAUACAAUUUUUUUGUUGUCUCAAACCGCUAAAGAAAUAUUUUUUUCCAAUUCUAAAUUCAUUAGAUAGAAUCAAAAUAUUUUUGUUAAAUUUUUGGGGACUACCCCUAUUAUUUGAUAAUUUUACAAAGUCAGCUGAUUCAGCGCUGCAUUGCAAUGUGAAAAAGCGCGCCAAAUAGAUCGCAACUUUUUAGCUGUAUAAAAUUUAUUUGUUAAUCGCAUAAAUUAAAACUUAAUAUGCAAAAAGUUAAUAAAGCUUAAUCCUAACAAAUAUGUUUGUGUUCUGUGGAGUAUAACUUUAACAGUCCUCGCUAGGCCUCGGCAGUUUUAGCUGAGGGUAAUUAACUAAACCAUAUAAUAACCCAUUAAUAACUUUUGCCCGUUUUUGCCCCUUUUCCCGAAAAUUGACAUGUUGUAGUUGCGCUUGAGUUUAGACGCUCAGUGCUGCUGGAAAUUUGGAGAUGCAACAACCGCCAAAACGACGUUGUAAUAUCUUUUAUUGCCAAAUCUUUUAACAACAAUGUGAACGAAGAUCUUAAAAAAAUUAUCCAAAAAGAAGUCGAGGAAUUUAUUCACUAUAUAAAAAAAUGUUUGUUGAAAUGCAAUAGAAUGUUAGAUCGAUUUAAAGUUAAACAUUCUACUUGGCUUGAUGGCAAUGUUGUGAUUGCGUUUGGUGAGCACGAGACGUCUCCAAAUAAAGCUGGACGUAAAUAUUUAAAUUAUGAAAAUGCAGAAUGUCGUUUAAAAAGAAAGUUAUCAUCAGAGCUUGCGUCAAAGGAAAAUUACGAAACUCCACUCUUAAUGAAGCCAGAAAUAAAAUAUACAAGAAUGACAGAAGAUCUCAUGCAAGAAAAUGCAGCAGAUUGAAUAACAUAACUGAUGUUUUCAACAGAGCAUUAGACUCGUCGGAUCCUCUAUUAUCAAGCCUCUGCCUAAAUGAACGCCAAAAAUUAAAUAAAAAAAGGAAUAUUCCGAAUGAAGUCGUUGCACUAUUUGAAUCUCCCGAUCAUAUUUUGAAAAAUCAUGAAGGUGAUUCAAGUGACGAAUGGA